rnacentral:rRNA from 1 species
GUGGGGAAUAUUGGACAAUGGGCGAAAGCCUGAUCCAGCCAUGCCGCGUGUGUGAAGAAGGUCUUCGGAUUGUAAAGCACUUUAAGUUGGGAGGAAGGGCAUUAACCUAAUACGUUAGUGUUUUGACGUUACCGACAGAAUAAGCACCGGCUAACUUCGUGCCAGCAGCCGCGGUAAUACGAAGGGUGCAAGCGUUAAUCGGAAUUACUGGGCGUAAAGCGCGCGUAGGUGGUUCGUUAAGUUGGAUGUGAAAGCCCCGGGCUCAACCUGGGAACUGCAUCCAAAACUGGCGAGCUAGAGUACGGUAGAGGGUGGUGGAAUUUCCUGUGUAGCGGUGAAAUGCGUAGAUAUAGGAAGGAACACCAGUGGCGAAGGCGACUACCUGGACUGAUACUGACACUGAGGUGCGAAAGCGUGGGGAGCAAACAGGAUUAGAUACCCGAGUAGUCC